rnacentral:rRNA from 1 species
UACGAAGGGACCUAGCGUAGUUCGGAAUUACUGGGCUUAAAGAGUUCGUAGGUGGUUGAAAAAGUUGGUGGUGAAAUCCCAGAGCUUAACUCUGGAACUGCCAUCAAAACUUUUCAGCUAGAGUAUGAUAGAGGAAAGCAGAAUUUCUAGUGUAGAGGUGAAAUUCGUAGAUAUUAGAAAGAAUACCAAUUGCGAAGGCAGCUUUCUGGAUCAUUACUGACACUGAGGAACGAAAGCAUGGGUAGCGAAGAGGAUUAGAUACCCUCGUAGUCCAUGCCGUAAACGAUGUGUGUUAGACGUUGGAAAUUUAUUUUCAGUGCCGCAGCGAAAGCAAUAAACACACCGCCUGGGGAGUACGACCGCAAGGUUAAAACUCAAAUGAAUUGACGGGGACCCGCACAAGUAGUGGAGCAUGUGGUUUAAUUCGAAGAUACGCGCAGAACCUUACCAACACUUAACAUGUUCGUCGCGACUCUAAGAGAUUAGAGUUUUCGGUUCGGCCGGACGAAACACAGGUGCUGCAUGGCUGUCGUCAGCUCGUGUCGUGAGAUGUUGGGUUAAGUCCCGCAACGAGCGCAACCCUCACUUUUAGUUGCCAUCAUUAAGUUGGGCACUCUGAAAGAACUGCCAGUGAUAAGCUGGAGGAAGGUGGGGAUGACGUCAAGUCCUCAUGGCCCUUACGUGUUGGGCUACACACGUGCUACAAUGGUAUCUACAACAGGAAGCAAGACUGCGAAGUUAAGCAAAUCCCUAAAAGAUACCUCAGUUCGGAUUGCACUCUGCAACUCGAGUGCAUGAAGCUGGAAUUACUAGUAAUCGUGGAUCAGCGUGCCACGGUGAAUGCGUUCCCGGGUCU